AGUGAACGCUGGCGGUAGGCCUAACACAUGCAAGUCGAACGGCAGCACAGUAAGAGCUUGCUCUUACGGGUGGCGAGUGGCGGACGGGUGAGGAAUACAUCGGCAUCUACUUUUUGGUGGGGGAUAACGUAGGGAAACUUACGCUAAUACCGCAUACGUCCUACGGGUGAAAGCAGGGGAUCUUCGGACCUUUCGCGAUUGUAUUAGCCGAUGUCGGAUUAGCUUGUUGGCGGGGUAAAGGCCCACCAAGGCGACGAUCCGUAGCUGGUCUGAGAGGAUGAUCAGCCACACUGGAACUGAGACACGGUCCAGACUCCUACGGGAGGCAGCAGUGGGGAAUAUUGGACAAUGGGCGCAAGCCUGACCCAGCCAUACCGCGUGAGUGAAGAAGGCCUUCGGGUUGUAAAGCCCUUUUGUUGGGAAAGAAAAGCAGCAGGUUAAUACCCCGCUGUUCUGACGGUACCCAAAGAAUAAGCACCGGCUAACUUCGUG
rnacentral:rRNA from 1 species